UAAGGACCCAAUAUGAACACCUUUCACACAGUCAACAUGCUCCUUACACACUGAAGACUCAUCAUAGACUGGUCACAACCCUACACAGGUUCUGUUGUAUGGGUGUUUUUUUGUUUUGUGCAUCCUGGUUUCCAAGCACACCUCAUGUAGUGUUGCCCGUGCCUUACAUCUAACCAGGACAGGGCCGUAUGCGUUUGAUGGUAAACCUGCCAAGCUUCACAGCUCUGCAGUGGCUCAGCUCGGAGGGAUGAACAGGUCUGUCACACCUCUGCAGAGGUUUUUGGCUGGGAGAAGGAAGCUUGGGUUUUUAACAGCCUUCAGAAACACAGCAAGCUGGAGCUAAAACUAAAAUGCGCUGCCAUCCAGCACUCCAGGACUGUCUCUUAUCAUCCCAGAGCCUUUGUUUAUGACACGGAGACCAAUUGAUUUACAUUAUUUUGCUUUCAGCAAGCCUCUCAUGAAGAACACGGUGACAUGCUUAAGUGCCAAAGAAGAAGGAAGGCACGCUGAUGAAAAACAGACAUUGCAGCCAUUAGCAUCGAUCAGCAAUUGAUCAGUGUAUAUGUAAGCAAAGAGGUACAGGAUGAGUACUGUGUACAAAGAAACCUGAUUUAAUCUUGUUCAAAAGGUGUAUUUUCUGUGAAGAGGCACUUUGUUCAGGAAGCACAGACUUCAUUAGCACAAACCCAAGAAUCAUGUGAGGAGCUUUGUCUUGGAGAUUAUGGAGGCCCAACCUUUGGCAGACAGGAGGAUAUGAAAAUGUUUUUCAGAUGCUACAUUGGCCAAUCAAUAGCUUCAUGUCAAAGAUUCUCUGUGAGACCUCACCUGUGUCCUUUGCUUAAUUAGAUGUUUUUCAGGAGUAUCUAAGACCACACUGUUACAUCACUACAUCAGUAUGUUUAAUUUGAGAGAGUGAGCAGGACAGCUGAGAAAGUAUUUGUUCUUCUGAGAUGCUCAAGAUCCUGUAAGUGCUGGAUGACAAACCCUUCUGUUUAUUCAGUAACACUGAAUUUGUUAUCAGCAGGUUCUUCAAACUUAGGCAAACCUGAAUGAGCAUUCUCCUAAAUGAGAAACCCCACCCAGCUGUCCACUUGACAGAGGCUGGACUGUUCAACAAGUUUUACUGUUCUUCCUGAACACAGCAUUGUGGCUUUUAAGAGAUAAUCAGAAGCUUUGAAAAGAGCCAGUACACCAUUCCCACUGAACUGCAAAACUUAGGAGGACAAUUAUUUAGCUCUGCCAACAGACACCAGCCCAGUUCUUGUUCUACCCAAAGAUCCUCUAGCCAUUAAACUGACACUGCAAAGCUAUUCAAGAGUGAUAGCCUAUAUAGAGCAACGUCAGCCUGAGAUACUCAAAACUCACUUCAUUUGUGACCCAAGUCAUAUUUGCAUUGCCAUCUACAAAAGUAAAGACUAAAAAAUACCGUUAAACAGAGCAGAAAUUACCAGCUAUGACACAUUAUAU
ensembl:lncRNA